CACUGCUACUUCAGUUUCUGUGCACAACCUGAUCUGCUCAGCCCCUGACUCCAUGGCUGCGGAGUGCUGCCAGGAUGACGUCAACUCCCCUCACAGAUCCCCGAGCUUUGAAGGCCUGCCACAAACUGGCUCCAGACCUAGAGCUUCUAAGAGUUUCUUCUUGUACUUCACAACUUGCAUAUGGAAUUUCAGUAAAGAAAAUAACAAUGUGCCUUUGAGGUCACCUGCAGAAGAGCAAUGAAACAACAAAAAGACGGAAACAGAACCUACAAGGAAAGCUGGAAGAACCUGAGAGUGUGGCUUCCUCCUACUUUAGUUUGAAUGUAUUCUCUCUAAAAUUCAGGUGUUGCCAAUGUGAUAGGAUUAGGAAGUCUGGCCUUUGGGAGGUGAUAAAGUCAUGAAAGCUCCCCUAGGGAAUGGGAUCAAGACCAGACUCUUUGUUAGGUGUUACACAGGACACCAGGAAGCUAUGCGCUCCUACAUUCGGCAAGUAUGAUUUGUCCCCUUUUAUAGAUCAGAAAAUCAACCAUGGACCAGAGACUGCAGUGGCCCAAGGACAGUGACGCAAUCUCACUGUACCUACCAUGGAGGUUGAGGCAAGAGGAAUUCAAUUUCAAGCCCAGCCUGGGCAACUCGGCAACUUAGCAAACUCUGCACCCCAAAAAAUAUUUUUUAAUGGGGAGAGGGGCUGAUGAUGUAGCUUAGUACAAAGGCCCUGGGUUCAAUCCCCAGUAUUGAAAAAGACUGGAAGGAGGAAAGGAGAGAGAGAGGAAAGGAAGGGAGAACCAAGGAAGAGAAGGAAAGAAGAAGGAAGAAGGAAAGGAAAGGAAGGAAG
ensembl:lncRNA